CAUACUAUUUGUUAUUGGAAUUCAGACAUCGCUGUAAUUUGCUUUUAUGGUUAUUAAUUUGGCCAACUAUCAGGUGAAAACAACAUUUUGCAAACUGUGAAAACUUCACGAAAAUCAUAUUUAGAAGUUUUAAAAUGAUUCUGCCAAAAAAUACAGUAUGUUGGAGAUGUGUUGCUCUACCAACCUUGGUUUGUAAAAUUUCAAGUCAAAACUCUGUUCCAUUUGGAAAAAAUAAAAUAAAAACGCAAAUGAAUAGUGUCCAAUAAUGAAGAACCGCC
rnacentral:lncRNA from 1 species